GCGCCCGUAGCUCAGGGGAUAGAGCACCGGCCUCCGGAGCCGGGAGCGCAGGUUCGAUUCCUGCCGGGCGCGCCA
rnacentral:tRNA from 1 species